rnacentral:rRNA from 1 species
AGAGUUUGAUCCUGGCUCAGAUUGAACGCUGGCGGCAUGCCUUACACAUGCAAGUCGAACGGCAGCACGGGAGCAAUCCUGGUGGCGAGUGGCGAACGGGUGAGUAAUGUAUCGGAACGUACCUUUCAGUGGGGGAUAACGUAGCGAAAGUUACGCUAAUACCGCAUAUUCUGUGAGCAGGAAAGCAGGGGAUCGCAAGACCUUGCGCUGAUUGAGCGGCCGAUAUCAGAUUAGCUAGUUGGUGAGGUAAAGGCUCACCAAGGCGACGAUCUGUAGCGGGUCUGAGAGGAUGAUCCGCCACACUGGAACUGAGACACGGUCCAGACUCCUACGGGAGGCAGCAGUGGGGAAUUUUGGACAAUGGGGGCAACCCUGAUCCAGCCAUGCCGCGUGAGUGAAGUAGGCCUUCGGG